rnacentral:rRNA from 1 species
UCUACGGGAGGCAGCAGUGAGGAAUAUUGGUCAAUGGGCGCGAGCCUGAACCAGCCAAGUCGCGUGAGUGAAGACGGUCCUAUGGAUUGUAAACCUCUUUUGUCGGGGAGCAAAAGACGCCACGCGUGGCGUUCCGAGAGGCCCCGAAGAAAAAGCAUCGGCUAACUCCGUGCCAGCAGCCGCGGUAAUACGGAGGAUGCGAGCGUUAUCCGGUUUUAUUGGGGUUAAAGGGUGCGCAGGGGGAAGAUCAGGUCAGCGGUAAAAUUGGGAGGCUCAACCUGUUGGAGCCGUUGAAACUGGUUUUCUUGAGUGAGCGAGAAGUAUGCGGAAUGCGUGGUGUAGCGGUGGAAUGCAUAGAUAUCACGCAGAACUCCGAUUGCGAAGGCAGCAUACCGGCGCUCAACUGACGCUCAUGCACGAAAGUGUGGGUAUCGAACAGGAUUAGAUACCCCUGUAGUC